ACAUAGGCUAACUAUAUAAGCAGUAGAUUGUGUCCUUCCAGAGGAGGAAAUCUACUUCUAGACUUCUAGAAUCAGCAUCUCCUCAUCCAUGGUGUCAUCGGGGUGAAAUGACGUCUAAAAACCUUUCACUUGUUCGUCUCCGCCCGUUUGCAUGGUGUGAAAUACGAUCCUCCUGAAACACGGAGUGUUUUAUUUUGAAAAGAAGCCGGAUGUUUUAUUUUGUGUCUGUGCCCGACUUCCUUUCCAGCACGGGUUAAUCUGUGCUGAAUUUAUCCGCCAUGCUCCGGCGUCCAGAAAAAAUAGAACUCUUGUGAUCAGCUGAGGAGUCUGGCGAUCCGCAGAGGAACGGAAAGAAGUCGGUGUAAAUUGACACGUUAACUUGAAUGGUUACGAUCAGCUACGAUCGGAGGAUACGACCUUUUAGGAGACGAUCAGGAUGAAGGUGUAAAUUGGGGGUUAGACCAACAGCUCCAUUGUUCAGUGACAUAUGAAGAAGUAAUUUCACGAACUGUCCCUUUAAACAGAAUUGCUGUUGAAUCGCCUGAAUACCAAGAACACAGUAUUUGUGAUUUGAGUUUGGAUUUAUCAUGAGACCCUAAAAUAAAACGAUUCAAGAGUGAAGAAGAAAACGAGCGUGGUUGCUACGGCUGCAGGAAAUAUUUGAUGUUUAUUGACAUUUUUUGACAAACAGGAUAAAAAAAUUCAUCCUUUUCCUCCUUUUCCUGCGGAGUAUCAGGUUCGACGUGUGCAGAGAGAACUGCUUCAUCCUCAUCAGUCGAGAGGCGUCUGAUUGGUCCAAACUUUGACCCACUCGCUGCAGCACACAGCAUCAGUCUGACACACCAGUACAAACCUCAGAUACGUCUCCUCCUCUCACAGGUAAAACUCAUGUCAACCCUGACUCCUGAUUGGCUCUGAUUGUGAGCUGCGGGGCCCCUGGAUGCAUGACGAGCAGCUUGAACUAACUUGUUUACUGGGGGGGGGGGUCUGGACUGGGUUCUCCACAGUGUUGCUGUUGUUCCAGCGCACAAGGAUUACAAUUAAGCAGCCACUCCUGUUGGGGCUUAAUGACCGAACUCUGCAAAAGCCAGCAGCAGGGACACUUCCUGAACAGCGCCGGGUUAGCCCUAAUUGGUUCUGGCACAGCAAUCCUCGCUGCUUAUCUCAUAGCCAGCUGAGAAAAAUCACCAGUGAAGUGUGAAUCAAAACAUGUUGAUUACAGGAAAUUCAGACUGAGCAGCACACCUGAUGGAAAGACGUCUUUUUUUAGAGACGGGACCGUCAAAAUUCAGGAUUAAACACGGCGAGCUGGAUUAGACCGACCCGGACAGACCCUCUUCGACGUUCGCUCCGUCUCGUACGAAGCGUUGCCGAUAAAUAAACACAUAAACAACAGUCAGGAGCGGAUCGUGGAAUCUCCUUUUUCAUAACAGGACCCUGCGAACACAUGUCCAAGCUCAGAGUCAAAUGGGACAGGGGGGGUUUGGAUGGGAGUCCGGGGGAUUUGGGUAAACCAUCUGUUGACCAAAGCUUUUGGGAAAGAGCACUAAUAUGGAUUUAGGAUAUUAUUCUCUCUGCAGGUGGGAUGGUCAAAACCCCCGUGGAUUUCUCUGCGAGGAGGAGGAGGAGGGGGAGGGGCUUUAAGAAAAAAAACAAAACAGGUUUGAAUAGAGGGACGGAGCGCACAGACCAAACAAAGAUGGAGCUUUUCCUUAAUCUCCUCUCUGUGCUCGCUGAAGUCAGGUAUGAGAGUUCACAGUGUGAUUUCUCCACACGUAUAAAGUGGCGUUUUUCUUAACACCACAUUCCUCACAACAAUACACAGACCUGGGUGGCUCUCCACGUGGAUCCAGACAUCCUGCAGGGCGGACCUGUAUAAGCUCAGACUCCAGCCCGGGUGUUGGGUCGGGGAAGAAGAGCCUCAGGAGUCUCUGGAGCAGCGGCGGGUUUACUCUAACACCCAAUUUCAACCGCAAUCGGAACGGCUAUGUAAAGGUCGUAUAUGUCGAUCGUAGCUGAUCGUAACCAUUCAAGUCUCAAUUUCCACCGGCUUCUUUACACUCCACAAGAGUUCUAUUUUUUUAAGUCGGGCACAGACACAAAAUAAAACACUCAAGUGAAAGGUUUUUAGACGUCAUUUCACCCCGAUGACACCAUGGAUGAGGAGAUGCUGAUUCUAGAAGUCUAGAAGUAGAUUUCCUCCUCUGGAAGGACACAAUCUACUGCUUAUAUGUCUAUGUGUCUGUCUUUUUAGACACAACUUGUUAUUGCGCAAUUGAACGUGAAUCUGCGGGUUCUUGUGAGUUCUCGUGAUUCCUGAUGUCCGUAAUCCACCACGAAACAUCGCCUGACCAACAGAUCUGGUAGGAAUUGGCAGAAGGGGAAUAUCGCAGCUGUUCCUGAUGUGGUGGAAAUUGGGGGUAACGCUCUUUUGGAGACGUUUCACCUUUAGGCGAAACAUCUCAAGUAAGUCCAGUUGUCCUUUCAACGAAGAAUUGGAAAUCAUAGAGUUCUAGGGAUUCCUUCUCUCCGUAGUCAGCCACGAAAAUUAUGUCCAUAAUCUGCCACGAAAUGCGCCUCAGAAAAUCGUUUCGGAUUGGAGGAACGGUGGAAAUCCCAGGUAACAGCAGCUAUCUUAACGGUGAUGUUCCCGUUCUUGCAAUAUCGUUUGUUUGUCGGGAUUGUACGGCACAGAUUCGGCCCGGGUGCUUUCAUUCAGUACGUUUACAUGACACUGGAUAAAACCGAAUUAUCGCCUUAUUCCGAUUAAGACCAGACAACUGAAGUGCACAUAAACACCUUAAUCAGAGUUUGAGAACUCUGAUUAAGACACCCAGAUAAUGUGAUUGGAAUUCAAUUUUCUCUACCAUGUAACCAGCGUAGUCGGAGUAAGAUGGACAAUGCAUGUGAGCAUGCCACGCCCCCGUAACCCCUGAACAAAACCCCCAGAGUAGAGGAGUAGCGUUGGUCUCAUCUUUAGAAAAAGUAGCGCGUCCAUCAUAUAGGACAAAAACAACGCUGUACGAUGCUCCAUCUUCUGAAAAGACCCAUAUCGCCCCCUAGUUUUGGGGAGGAGGACACGUUCACGUCAAUAAUUUGAUUUUCUCAGCUGCAUGUAAACGAGGACGAGGAGAGAAACAAACUGACAGUUUCUCUGCACAACCGCUCACAUCUGCAGCAGGAAGAAGAGUAACCUCAAACAGACAUGAGGGUUGUUCCACGGUUUUAAUAAAUGUAAUCUGCUUAAACUCUCAGACUGAAGUAAACUGACUUUCAUAUGUGUAAACAUCCGUCCCAGCGAGUACCUGCAGCGCCAGCGCCAAAAUAAACCAUUAAAGGUAUUUGCUGAAAACUGCUUGGCGACGGUUUCUCAUUUACAAACACUAAUCUUUGCCUUUCUUAUGAGGCGUGUGGAUUCUUUCAGGUCAUAAAACAUCCAUCAAACAGUCAGGAAAACCAUCUGGACCUUGUCUGGAGUCAGGUGAGGAGCGCCCAGACUGGAAGGUGAAACAUCUCUGGACCCUGAUGAGCUGAAGGCUUCAUUUCUCCUGAGGGACGACCUGUGAAGGAGAGAGAGAGGACAGAUUCUAAAAUCUGAGAGUUUGGGUUUGUCGGCCUGAGGGGGAUGACCCGUUAAAGAGGCAGUGAUGAUGGGAAGCUCCAGUCAGUAAAUUACAGCGUCCUCUAAUCCGUCUCUGAUCCCACUCAAACCCCUCCCAGCAGAACCCCCCCCCCCACAUCCCAAUCUGAGAUACCGAGCGGACAGAUUCCAGGAAAUGUCUAUUUUCAGGAACAGAUUGCGGCAUUGUUGUUGACUCGAUAAGCUAAUGUGGAAGUGGAAAUGCAGACUAAGUCCUGCACACACCUGUCUGCCACGCAGGAUUACAUUCUCCAACAUCAUGUUUAAAUAUACAGGAGAUAUUUCACUCACAUCUGUGCAGGAACAGAUGCUGAAACCAGAGUCUACGGCGGCCUCGUUUACCGAGAGUCAGACGUCGACAUCUGCGUGCAAAAACGCAGGAACAACAUGUGCGAAUGUGGAGUAUUUUUACUGAAUUUAAACCACUAAAUAUAGUUAAACUGUGAGAGUGAUUUAAUAUGACCAGCUGAGGAAGAACUUUGACCUGUAGGAGGUGGUGCAGGAGAAAACCACUGUGGUGUUUUUUUCCAGAGUUGGUAGAGUACAUCCUCUUGUGAUAAUGAAGGAUGAACCCACUGAGUGUUUGAAAUACUCAGAGGAUGAUGAAUAAUUUCACCAAAAUUAGAAGAAACAUAAUGUUUUGACCGUUGAGGAGGUGGUGGGGUUGUUAUAGAUCGACAUAAACUAUAAAUUAUCAUGUUUAAGGGAGGCAUGACUAAGCUUUACAUUUAACGUAAAUUUGACCAAAUUCAAUGAAAAUUCAUUGACGAUUGCCGCGGCAGUUUUGACCUCAAAGUGGCUCUGAAAGUUUUAUCUGGAGGCCCGUAAUCGUCAGGAGUUAAAAACUGUGAAUUAUGAACAUCUGCACCAAAAACAACUCCACACCGUUCAGUAAAUGUUGAGAUACUUGACUCCAAAUGUUCAUGAAGGCUGGUUUCACCGUAUUUGUGAUGAGCUGCACAGACUCAAAAGACUCUUUAAUAUUUGCGGCGGUCAAAGAAGCUGAUAUUCGGAAACCCAACCCAAUGUGGGUUACAGAAAAGAAGCUCUUAGGCGGAUUAAUCGCUCCAUCAUUAAGCCAUUAAACGUCCAUCUUGGUCAGGUUAUAUGUGGGGGGUCCUGGAAAUUAAUUCAUGCUCAAUAAAGACGACUUAAAGCCCGAUUAUUGGUCUUUGCCCCUCUUAGAUACAGGAUCUGACUGGGGUGAUCCCAAGCGUGAGGAAAUGUGAAUCUGGCCACUUAGGGGGGCUCUGCGGUUUAAGGUUGAUUAGUUUCGCGGAUGUCCUUCCUGAUGCUGUUUUCCGGUAAGCUACACGUCUCUGCUCGAAUACUGCAGUUAAUCACAGCUCUCUUUAAUUCAAUGAUUUAGAUUCUGCAGCUUAAUGCAGGAUGAACCGCCCUCUGAAAUAUUCAAUGUAAUCUCCCAGUCGACUAAAGGGUUCGUUCCUAUCUUUGGAGGAUAACCAGGUUUAAAGAAGUAAGGACAGGUCAAAGAAAAAUGGGAGCUUGAUUAACCAGAAGAGGCGUGAUAAUCAAGGACACAUGGGGUCGGAGUCGUGCCGAGGAGCAGCCCAACAAGACAAGGAAAUACAAUCUGUGUCGAUGUGAUUCAGAAUAAUAGGCUGGUUUCCUCCAUGAAGGCUUAAUAGUUUACAGACGUGUGGGCCAUCUAACGAGAGUCUGCUUCGAUUUUUCUCCAGGGACUUAAUGAUGAGGAGGAGGAAACCCAAGACGGGUCCGACAGUCUGAUAGAGGAAGGGCUUGUCAUCGCAACAACAGAGGAUAUAUUUGGGAUGUCUGACUCUUAAAGUCACACUGUAAGGUGCCCAGAUAAACAAAGCCUGACUGUUAGCUAAUCUGAAUUAAGGAAUAAAAAUGAUCCCUUUUACUAAUCAAGCUGUUUUAGUCUGACUCUGUGUAAUUUCCUGUCACAGAUUUCUGCAUCAGGUCUGUAUUUUUCUGGUUUUGUAGCUCCACCGUCAACUCAGACCGUAGGCUGGAAAACAGUCAGUAAGGAGGGGAGAAAUCAAGAAAUCUGAGGUCAUAUAAUUCAGAUUACACUACACAUAAUCGAUGGUUUUAAUUGGCUCUAGACAUUGUCAACACCAUCGUCAUUCCAGGUCCUAAUUAGCUGGUUAGACUGCAAACCAUUUACGCCACAUUUAACCAACCGCACAUAUUCAGGGUAUUUUGGAGAAAGUUUUGACCUUAAAUUCUCACUUUGUUUGUUUUUUUCACUACUUUAGGUGUUCUCAGUGGUCUUUAAAUUGUGAUUAUUAAGUUUUUAGUCUGAGAACAAGAUGGCUGCAUGCUCUUCCAUGUGACAUGUGGAGAGGAUGUGAUUGGGAGCUGGUUAACCUUCACCGGGCUCGUUAGAGGGGAGCCAUCUUUAAAAGCCUCUUCCUCUGUCUGCUCUGGUCCUUCUCUCACAGCUGACUUUGACUCCGCCUUGCAAUAUUUGAAUUAUACUAAGUAAAGACACUUGAGGCGGUUAAGACUGAGGUAGGGUGGGGUACCCUUUACAUUGUACAACACUUAGUCACACUUUUGUAAAGCACACUAGGUUAUGGGUUGGUGCCAUCAGUGUACGUUUUGAGAGACUUUUCUUAGCCAGUCAGUUAGGCCCUGUUCUGUUGUCUUAAGUUCAUUUAUUUUCCACUCUUCUCCACACAGUCUGCUCUCCCUCCCACCUUUCCUUCCCUUUUGCUCAUUACCUGAUUUUUGUUAAACAAAUAUUCACACUCUGAAACUCCUCCUUGUUUGUUUGUGUUACUUCCUGGUGCUCAGCUAGAGGAGCGUAGCACUAAAAUCACGUUGCCUGUGCCUUUUUUAAGUGUUUUUCUUCUGCAGAGCUGCAGUAGCUCUUUAGCAAUUCUAAGUCGUGGGCGGAGACAGCGCUGCUCUGCACACUCCUCUUCACGUUGUUAGCUUGCAGCCUAACAUUGCCGGUGUCGUAGAAGAAACGGGUAAAAUAGGAACUACUCAGCUCGCAGACACUAACGUCUUUGGGGACAAGAUGAAAGUUAAUAUCAUAAUUAGCUUUCUCACGAGCCUUACGAUCCGCUAACGCACACACUCGUUCCAUGAUCAUCCUCUCUACUUCUCUGAGUCUAGUCAUAGCGGGGCUCAGGGGGCGGAGCUUGGAUUUGUGAUGUAGGAAAUCUCACUACAUCUUAACCUGCCGUUCAGGUCUGUGAGAGAUUCACGGAGAUUUGGAAAAACUCAGAAAUUCAAUUUCACACUUAUUUUUCUCUUGAUGUGUCCUGUAGCAUCAGAAAAACGAACACGUAGACAACAUAAAAACAUGAUUUUCAUCGGAGUGGCUCUUUAACAGGAUGAAGCACAUCUUCAGCCUCAGAUUGUUGAGUCUGUCUUAUAUGAGAACCGAGCGUCUCGAGUUUAAAUGUCUGAAGCGUGUCCGCCUGUCCGCCUUCCUUCAUAAACAGUAGUUUCUCUUAUAAAGAUUCAUGACGCUGAUGACAACCUCUCAAACUUUUGCUGUUCGAUUUCUCCCCUGUGUCUGUGAAACCAUAACAGCUAUGACUGAAUCCGAUCCGCUCUACGACUUUUUUAACUCGCAGUCGUCGUGUUUUGAUCGCGCGUUGUGAAUCUUCACUGGAAUCUCAUUUUUUAUCUCCUGCCAUGAAUUAUUACGGUAUGAGUAACUUUGCAGCUGUACUUCAGCCCCUCUGACUCCCUCCUGUUCUUGGAGCUGGUUCAGGUCAUGGAAAAGCCCUGCAGAGUGACAUCAUGGUGCACAUUCAGCUCCGGGGCCGGCAUCUGAGCAGCACCUGUAAUGAGGCUACCCUCCUUUAAGCCGUAAAGAAAACACCUGGACGGCCUCUAACCUGAAUAACAUCACACUGUACAUGUCGUCAGGUUAUGGUCGGUACUGCGCGUCAUGGUGACAAAACGCAGUGGGCCUGGAAGCUUUAAAAUGAAUCAUCUGUGAUAAAGUAUGUUGACAUUACAUGGAGGGUCAUUUAUCAGCCUUUAUACUCCCUCCUGUAUAAUACAGACAUUAGCAGUUCCCAUAGAGAAAUCCAUCACAAACACUCACAGCGCUGCAGCGAUGUGCUCUUCAUCUUAAUGACUAUUUUGCAUUGUCAGAGGGACAAUCACAUGGACGUGAGUGAGUCAUGUGUUUGUCCAUGAGGACAUCACCUGGGAUCUCUCUGUUCUGUAACAGGACAUGUUCGCACAUGUUGUCAGCUAUCCCCUGAGUUUAGGUAACGCCCAUACGGCUCGAUCUGCAAGUGUUUCAGUGACUUUCUGAGAGUAAACACAGAAAUGUACAGAAAGGGAAAGGACACCCAGCUCAUCUGAAGUCACAUGAGAAUCUGAAAACUGAUAAAUUAUGAUCGGGAGAAUAUUCAUAAACAGUCAACGCUGCUGCUUGACUACAGACAAGCACACGGACAAAUAAAGAGGGUUUCCACCCAGCAACACGGAGAGAUAAGCACUCUGCUCCACACAAGGUAUGUCGUGCAUGUACAUACCGCUGGACUCCGAAGGUCAACAUGGAGUAUGUUGACAUUUUUGGGUCCCUAAUGUCUCUAUAUGGUGAAGCAGAUCCACUCAGCCUGCAGGAGAGAUGGAUGAACUCAGAGUGGAGGCGUGGAGGGCGAUCCACCCCUCCUUGAUACCCUCAUGUCAUGCCCAAAUACCACAUAAGUGCCCUCUUGAAUCCCUGUGUGGCAGAUAAAACAACAAAACGCUCUUUCAGUGAAAAACAAACUCUGGAGGAUGCCAACUCUAACACCGCAGCUGUGUACAGAGGACUCUCCAGAUGCUCUUACAGGAGUUAAAAUGGAAAUAAAGCGCCUUAAGGUCGCUCGAUCUGCUAAUUUAAUCUAUCUAAUGGUCUCUCUUUGCUCUUUUAUAAUGUAAACAAAGUGCUUAAAUAUAACUUUUGGGUCAUUUUUAAACUGUAAAACUGUGUAAAAAAGUAACAUCCUUAAAGGGAUAUUCCAGCGUAAAAUUUAUUUAGGGUCUCAUCUAAAACGCCACUCGAUCAUAAAUGUUCUUCCUUGAGCUGUGGCACCCCGCUGUAGUCCGUAAUGGACUGGCCUGAGGUUUCCCUACAAACAAACGUCUGCUGGAAGAGAGUAGGUGAGUCGUGUUUAGUCUCUUUACUAAAGAAAUUAGUCAAAGUCAAUGGGGGCCCUCUAUUUCUGCCAAUAAUAUUGAUUGUUGAUCAUUCACACACCUACUACAGUAUAAAUUUGAUGCACCUGACAUGUCUUUACACAUCUAAGGGGGUGGCCUAGGUAAUAACAUAAAUAACACCAACGCAACCAUGCAAAUAAUACCAAUGAAUGACUGAUGAAUGAUGUUCAGGGGGCCAUUUAUGGUUUUUAAUCUCAAAAUGUAACACAUUCAGGACGCUCAGUGCACAUCACACAGCAGGAGGAACAUAACGGAAGCAGAGCUUUGACAUAUCGGCGGUAAGAAUCGUAGGACUACAUCAGAAGCACUAAAACGUUUUUACUUUAUUUUAUUUUUACAAUAAUAUAUAUUUGAUCAGACAGAAAGCAUCACUCAUACAUGCAAAAAAUAAAAAGGUUUCCAUUUUUUUCUUUUUUUUGCUCUUGGGGGCCCCCUACUGGCCGCGGGGCCCUAAGCAAGCGCUUAGUUCGCUUAUGCCUUGGGCCAGCUCUGGGCUAGUACUAUGUCUGUGACCUAUAUGUCCUGUUGAUGAAGUUAGGUGCUGUUCUGAGCAUUAUUUGUGGCUAUAGAGUGGCGUUUUGGUUGAGCGCGUGGCUCUCUGUAUUGCUAUCCUGCGGUCGUUACUAAAGUUGGUAUAACUAGAGAAGCAAGCAGUCGACAACAUUCAUCUCUUGAGGGGGGGUCUAACUCGGUGUUAUAGUGUGUUUGACCCUGAAUUAAUCUAACCCCGGAAUAUCCCUUUAAGCUGUGUUGAACUUUCCAAACAAAGUGUCUCAGGCAGAGGCUGAAAUGAUGGUUUUCAUAAAGUAAGUUUAAAGAGUUUUUUUAGCAGAAAAUCUUGCACGGUUACCCCCAGACUGGCAAAUGAAAAGGUGAAAAGUGGAUUUGUAAGAUGAGAGGUGGCGUAAUCAGAAGUGUCUUUGUCUUUUUUCAUUCACUCUGGAUUACAAAACUCACAGACCAAAAUAGAUCAGGUGUGAAAAACAUGUGGUGCAACGGGUAAACACCGAAGGUGUCUCAACAAGUCGCUUAACCGAUGAUCCAAAUCGAGGCCAAUCAGGGUUCAAAUUCAACAGCAGGUGGAGGUGGAACAGCAUGGAGGCCUCGUUUGAAGUUUCAUUCCACUUACGGACCUCAAACCGCCAUAAUGACACACCUGUAAUGACUGCAGGGCAUGGAUUGUUAUUUCCUGUCAUUGCACAUAUUCAUAACCUCAGGUCAGCUCUAAAUACAUGUCAUUGACUCUUCUGUACACACCGGGACGUGUCAAAGCACAUACAGGCUAUUUUAAAACAUGUUUCAUGGUUUUCCUGUAAGAACAAUAACCGAUCCUUUAUGUAAUGUUUCUAUCACACACCCUUCACCUGAGGAACGACGCCAAAGUAAGGGCUGAAAAUAUACGCAGUUAUCCAUCACAGGCGGAGUGAAAAAGCUGCAGCCAUCGUAAUAUCUUCACUUUAAAACAUACAGUACUGUUGUAAGUGAGCGAGGUCAGGAGGCCGCUGCACGCCGUCACUGUGGAAAAUCCUUCAGCACAGGCAGUGGUCCAGAGGAUGAAUGAGUAAGGCAUUUUUCUGCUUUGCCAACCUGAAACCUCUUUGUGCUUUUACAGGCAAACUCAUAAACCACCGCCAGCUUAUAACCGAGAAGCAUAAAUGCCGAACAUUUAUGACUAGGCGAUUAAUUUCCUCAGGACAAAUUUUCCCCCUGCUUUGAAGUGGGAACAGUAUAACUUCUGGAACAGUCGAAAUACCAUCGCUUAUUGUUUGGUGACUUUACAUAAAAGGUGUUAGUAUAAACAGCGCCGUGUGGCAGGAGGCCGCUUUUUAUGGCGGCUUUGGCCUUCAUGUUUCUUUUACAGCUGAAGAGACUGAUCCUGAACCCCUGUGUUUCAAAGCUCCUCGCACCAUGUACAAUCCUCCACUCCAAAAAAAAAAAAAAAAACACCCCCACUCCUCUGCAGGCCUGCACACAAUGGGCUCUCAUUCAGCCCAUCUUCUUUUAAACACCAAUAAAAUCUUUUACAUUUCCUCAGCAGGCAGUUAAAAUCCGGCUGACUACCGUGCAUUCCCCUGCGCUCUGCUGAGUCUCAGGUGGAGUUUUCAUCUUGUUGUUCUGGUGUUGUUCAGCGUUGCCACAUUCUUAAAUCAGAAGAAGAAGAAGAAGGAGAACAAGAAGAAGAACAAGAACAAGAAGAAGAAAAAGAAGCCUGUUUACGUCCAGACUCAGACUGAAUCUGGACUUUAAAAGUACAUGUGCUGAUAAAAAUGUCAUAGUGUAGUAUGAUUAAAAAUGUCAUCGUAAAAUAUGAAAAAAUAUGUCCAAGUAUGGUAUGAAAAAAUAAUUAAAGUAUGAUAAAAAAAAAAAUGUCAUAGUAUUGUGUGUUAACAGUAUGUCAAAGUAAAGUAUGAUAAAAAAAAUGUUAUAGUAUAGUAUGAUAAAAAUGUCAAAGUUUAGUAUGAUAAAUAUGUCAUCAUAUAGUAUGAUAAAAAUGUAAAAGUAUAGUAUGAUAAAAAAAAUGUCAUAGUAUGGAAUGAUAAAAAAAAAUCAUGGUAUUGUAUGACUAAAAUGUCACAGUAAAGUAUGUUAAAAAGAUGUCAUAGACUGGUAUGAUAGAAAAAUGUCAUAGUAUAGUAUGAAAAUAUUAUUUAUAGUAAAGUAUGAUAAAAAAAAAUGUCAUUGUUUUGUAUGUUAAAAGUUUGUCAAAGUAUGAUAAAAAUGUCACAGUAUAGUAUGAUAAAAAAAAUUCAAAGUAUAGUUUUAUAGUUUUUUUAAGUAAAUUUUAUAGUAUAGUAUGAUAAAAAAAAAAAAAUCAUGUGCUAUGUCCUACCCUAAUACUCUUUCCUAUAUAAAGCAGAAGCUCUAGCUCAAAGGGUUUUGAAGCUUAAAUUUAGAUCCAUAGGUUUUUGGGAUUUUAGGUUUUUGAUGUCACAGUGGAGGGUCUCACCAAUCCCGGCAUAAAGGAGGUGAACCAGAUCAGACCGAGUGAAAGUUGUAUCUGUCACUAUGUGUUCUCUUUAUUGAGUUUUUCCCUGUGAUUUGAGUGAAUUUUCCCUUGUGUUUCUGUUCCCCUGUAGUCUUGUCUUGUGACCCCAGUUCCCUCAUGUUCUCAGUGUUUAUUCUCUAUUAUCAGUUUUCAGUGUUUCCUGUUUUAUUUUGUAGUAGUUCAUUCCCUUGUUUUACUUCCUCAGUUAUCCCUCCUCUGUAAUCGUCCUCACCUGUGUCUCAGUGCCUCACCUGCCUCUCGUUUCUCGUUUCCCUGUGUUUGUAUAUAAAGUCCUUCUCUUCCCCUGUUUCUUUCUUUGGUUCAUUUUGUGGAUUUAUGUUGUAAGUCUGCACGUCAAUGUCUCCAUGUGUUUUUUUUCCCUCAGUGUCUUUGUCUUUUGUUGGAUUUUAGAUUUUUUUAAUUAUUUAGAUUUUGCCUCCUGUGUUUCUUGGGAUUUUUGAGUUGGACAUUAUAAGAGGGUUUUUGUUGCUUUUUAUUUAGUUAUUUUUUCAUUAAAUCACCUUAUAUUCUGCAAUUGGGUCUUUUUUUUUCUUGUCGACUGUUUUGGUGUAUUAUGUCAUCGUUCCACUGGGAAACGACCUUUAGCGACCUGCUAAAAACCAGCUCUCUGUUUGUUUGUGUGAUUUUUGUCGUGGUUGUUGACUCUGGAUGUUUUUGUUUGGCCCCGCAGACCCAAAUGAAUCCAUUUAAUCAACGUUCAACUCCUGAUUUAGUUCAUUGAGUGGCUUCUUGUGCUUCAUACUUAUCUGAACUAUUUGUUCAAAAGGAGCUGGAGGACUAUCUGAACAUCCUGUCACAGAGUGUGCACCUGUAAGACGGUGUUUAUAGAUUUCAGAAUGUCUGACGGUGGCUGGAAUGUAAAUCUGAAGGACCUCCGAAAAAAGGGAAAGGAAGCAGAUAAGAUACAGAGAGGGGGGGUUCAAAUGUCACUUUAAUACAAGACUCUGUUUUUUUAUCUUUUAUAAAAAUAUUCUGUAGUUUGAGACUCUUCGGACAAUAAAAGACUAUGAAGUUUAAGGUCUAUAACACUGAAUUUACAACCGGUACUUAAAUAUCAACAUUCACUCUAUCAUUCGUCUUUCUUUCUAUUUCACAGAAAUGUUUUAGAGUAAAAAGACAUAUUUAAAGUACUAAGGGAAUAUAUUUUAGGUACAUAUCUGACUUUUUUUCUCCUUUUUAUUCAGAUAAGUUUGGUAAUGAUCUUGAUUUUUCAGUUAGAUUGCGAUUAUCUUUUGUGCUGUUGGAUUUGUUUGCAUGUCUGUGAAAGUGCUUCAUUAAACCUUGUUUUAAAGUGAUUUCUGGAUAAAGUUAAGCAUGUUUGGGGAUAUCAUUUUAAUUCAGAGGAGUUGACAUGCCUUUUGAAAUGUUCUAGACCCCCAAAAGUGAAAAUAGUACCUAAUAAACUACCUCAGACUUCUCCCUGUUUUUAACAACAAAUUAUCCAGAUUAAAAGACGUAUAAUAAGUCAACUUUUCUCUGGCAGAUAUUUUUACUUAUAAAAAGCAUUUCAGGUCUUAUUUUUUGACCUGAGAUCAAACCACAAAUCUGGACUUUAUGUUGAGUCUUGUUAAAUAUUUUCACUAAAAUAAGACAAACUCUGUUGCCAACAUUUGAGUUUUUGCAGCUUAAACACAGUUAAAACAGUCUAUGUUGCACUUUUAAGCAUGUUCUUGACGUCAUGCAUUAAGAUAAUACAGAAGAAGGUAAAGUGGGUUUACUUUCAGCCCAGUUCAGAUCAAAAUCGGUUCAGUUUCUGGGAGUUUUGGGGGGAAAUGUAGGCUCCAGUUUUCUCAGCGUUCAGGCACAAUUUGUUGCCGCGCUGUUCCACAUGUGGGUGUUAACCGCUGCACACCGUGAGGCAUUUCUAACAUGAAUGCAGCCUACCAUUAGCUGAGCAGUGAAGAUAAUACAACUUCCUCUUUCCACAUGUUAGGACCUGACAGCCAAUUGGAGCCAUAAAAGUCCAGAAGGUUCCCAUAGCCGGCAGUUCACACCAGGCAGACUGUUGUUAAUGUUAAUGAGCUGUGAUGGCAGCCUGCUUGGUUGUCAAGGUCAAGGCUAGCACCGCUAACAAGGAUGGGAAGGAGUGAGGAGACAAGUGGCGAAGCAUUGCAGAGCCGUCAUUACAGGAGGAGAGGGGAGGAGGAGGUGUUUGUGUUCCUGUGUUUGUCCUGGAUGAGAAGGAGCCUGAGAGACCAUGAGAGGAACCAUACUCUAUGAGAGACUACGCAGCUGUUUCAGAUCUUUUCGGACAAAUUCAUCCUCCAUCAGAAAUCUCAGAGACUCCGCUCGCUCUCGUCUUCGUUCUGUCGUCAUCAGAUGUUUGUGCGCACAGAUUUUAUGUGGUGAAAUCAUGUCAAACAAGGAGGCAGAAAUGUUUGCAGCCUGGAGUCUUGGAAAUGCUGCAUCUCUGCCUUUCUCUGUGGCUGCGCUUUUAUCGUACACAAAGUCAUUUAUGUGGUUUUAAUGUAUGUAUAUUGUGAACGUAUGUGCCACAUGUUUAAACAAACGCACAAUAAUGCGGUGCUCCGCUGUGUUGUUUACUAUAUAACAGCAUCCAUCAUUAAAAACAGACACGUUUUAUUGGUUUCUGUGCUUUGCAUUAAGUCUUUGCUUCAUUUUUAUUCUAUUAGAGCAUCUUUGUCGACUUAAGUGUUCUUUCUUUAUUACUCUGCGUGCUUAUAAACUAUCUGGGUACAUAUUUUACAGCUUUUUAGCAAAGGGAUCAUAUGACCUCCACCGGCAUUUUAACAUCAGUGGUUGUUAAAGCCUCAAUAAGUGUGAUUUGUAAUAAAAGAUGGAUGCAUGAAAUCAAAGUUUAAGUGACUCCAGGUGCCGCUCGAAAAACAAAGUGGAGACUGUUUGAACAGGUGUGUAUUUUCUAACCUUUCACACUCAUAUACAAGUAUCUCCACUGCCAGGCUGAAGUGUUUCACUCACAUUUUCAUACCCACCACCACCACCACCACCCUAACAUCCACCUGCAGGCCCUGACUGGGAGCUGAGAUCUGCCAACUUCCAAAUGAUAAAACACUUAAAGGUGGUGUAGUCAGGAUCUGAUGAAGUUCCUGUUUUUAGGAGAAAUCUUGAAUGUAAACUCUACCCCUCCCAACCAGUUUUCCCCUCAGCUCCUCCUCUCCCCUCAAGCCCCGCCCACAAACAGACGCUCCUGCUCGCUCGUAUCGUUCCAAUUAAAUUCAGAUAUAAUGCAGAUAAAUACUUCAGAUCAUUACAAAUGGGGCCCAGUCAAGGUGAAAGUCAAAAGCAUUGGUGCUACUGUAGAUGCCAACAGACUACCAGCAAACACAAUGUUUGCAGGACUUCUACAACUAGGAUAAAGUGACAUAGUCCAGGACCCGAGGGAGGACAGUUUAGCGAUGGCGCUACAACACGCUACAGCAGGUCCGUUUGACAAGAAACACUUCUGUUACAGACACUUGUCUUACUUUGUUAAAGCGGUUUACCUGUCCAGCAGAAAGGUUACAGGGUCACCAAGAUCCCCAAGCGUCCCCCAUGGUUUAUGUUGACCCGGCUUUUUAGCUCUUGUCCGGUCUACCUCCGUUUUAAGCGCCCGUUAUUCCUCCAGAGUCUCCGGUAUUUACUUUGUUUUCUUGCUUGUGUCGGCAGUCGUGGCCAAAGGAGGAUUCAGACAAUUUUCCGAACUUUCUGGUUGGUUUCUACUGUCCGAUAUUGUAGCACGCUAACUUUGUUUGGGCUCCUGAACGACACGGGGGAGCAGCGUCUGCCUCACAACCAAUCAGGUUAGAGGAGGUGGAGAACGGCUUUGUUUACAGUCAGAAUAAGCCGAGCGCACUGAUAUUUUAAAAUGUUGACGACACAGACAUAAGAGAACACAGAGAUAUCGUUAUAUUACCAAAUGUCAUCAAUAACUAAUAACUAUUGACUGAUAUUAAAAGCUGUUUUGUAAAUACACCACAAAAAAAAGAUGCUUCUUUAACCGAUUCCUGCCUACCACAACUUCAAUUUCUCUGAGUUGGUGAUGGGAGUGGUCGACGGGGUUGCUAACAUGCACACCGCCACCUACUGCACCAGACUGACCACAGGUGCAUGUGUUAAGUCACUAGUGCAACAUCUCAGAGCUCACAGAGAUGCUCUUGUAGUCUUAUGUUUAUACAAUAGAAGGAUAUUGGGAUGCACUGUCCUUCGUGACUUACAGUGAAUGGUGUUUGGAAUGGUUUUGUCUUUCUAUCACUGCCCCUAGUGGCAGAUAUGAGUAUUACAACGACACUUGGGAUAAUCACUCUGAUUUUUUAAAAAUAAUUUGCUGCUAAAAACAGUCCAAACACACCACUUAGGAUACUCAGACUGAAUACAUGUGGGUGGUUCUGCUUACUCUUCAACCAGAUAAUGUCAGACAGUCUCAUUGCUCAUACUUUCCUAAUGCUGAAACAGAAACAUGCAGAGAAACAGAUGAGACCCGGGCUCAUGAACCAUAUAGGGAAAGUAAUUCAGCUCCUGUUUACAGGGAUUCUUGUACACAACUUGAUAAUAUGAGGACACACACAGCAGCUCUUUAACGGACACACACGGACAUGUUCCAUCGAUAUAAACACGAUGUAGAGACUAAUCAGAGAGGAGUGUUAUGGCAGACACAUCAGAUGUAUUUAAGCAGUCAGAAACAGUCCUGGUCCAGUGUACAAUGGCGGUGAAUCAGAGUCCCUGCAGUCUUAUCUUUAGCCACCAUGAACCCACCGCAGAUCCUGACAAGGCUAGGUCACAUAUUUAACCUUUGACCCCAGUCCCAUCCAUGAGAAGUCAGCGAGGAGGAGUCACAGUGAGAGCUUAGCAAAGGCGGAGAGAGACACUCAAGAAGGAGAGAGUCUGAGUGUGUGUAUGUGUGUGUGUGUGUGUGUGUAGGUGUUUAUGUCAGACGGUGUCCAAUGUAAACAGCUUGGACGCCGUCUGUCACCGCGGCGCAGAAACGUGGUUGUCCUGCUCUCGCUGUCCCAUUUACAGCUGUUAUGAAACAGCCUUUAGGGGCUGAGGUUAUGGAAGCAUACCAUAUACUGAAGCUGCAGCUCACACUUUUAUAGUGCUCCGAGGGGAGUGAGGUAGUGUGCUACAUUUAACUCUGUUUAUAUGGAGGAACAAACUGUGCGUGUCUGCGCUAAGGUUUGCCAGAGGUCAGGAAACCUGCUGACUGAUGUUCUCAUCUCUCAGGUUUGAUGCCUUGAAGCAAGGCACUUAGAAUAAUCCCUGUUUCUUUACCUGCGCUCGCAGAUAAACCAGCCAAUCAGAUGCCAGAGCUCUCCUCUCAUUUGAAGACUAAACAUUACAUACAAGUGCAGCAAGUACCCCAGCUGUGAAACUCGUACUCAGGAAGCCAUGGUCAGUCAUGUGGAUUUGAACUAGUCCUUGAUGGGGCUGUUCCAACAUGCUUUCUGUGCAAAACAUGCUCCUAACCAAACCUCAUUGCAAAAAAAGCAAAUUUACAGACUCUGACCCAAACAGCCACAUGCACAGCGUCAUUUUUCAUGGACUGCAGAAAGCUGAUGAUAUUUUAUAUAUCUCUUCUCAAACUUCAGACAUACGGCCAGAGGGUGCUCGUUUGUCUACAUUAUAAAUCAUUUCCAAGUGAUGAAACCAAACACUUAUUUUGGAAGCACGAUCAGCAACUGAGCUUUGAACUGAAUACUGAACUGAAUUUUUAGGGCAGUUCUUCAAGGGAUAUUCCAGCGUAAAAUUAAUUUAGGGUCAAACACAUCGUAACACUGAGUUAGACACACUCUUCAGAGAUGAAUGUUGCCGACCGCUUGCUUCUCUAGUUAUACAAACUUUAGUAACGACUGCAGGAUAGCAAUACACAGCGGUCUGAGGAGCCACAAACAAACCUCAACCAAAACGCCACUCUAUAGCCACAAAUAAUGCUCAGAACAGCACCUAACUUCAUCAACAGGACAUAUAGGGUCACAGACAUAGUACUUUAUUCAGAAAACAUAAACUUAAGCGGGUGCGUUUCUCCGCCUCUGUAGUCUAUAAGCUGGGCCAAUAAACUUCUUCUAUAGUAAAAAUGAAAAGGUAAAGGUGUUUUUAUUGAGCCGAAUUAUCAAUAAAAUCAUAAUUUUGUUAACAUGUAUGGAUAUAUGUGCUGUUGAGAUAGUAUAUGUGAACAAGGGCAUAGUAAAGUUAAAUCAAAUAAUUUUCCAAUGAGGUUCUGUUACUAAACGGAACUACACCAUGAUCUUACUCAGGUUAGUACAUAUAGGGUCCCAGCCAUCGUACUAGCCACCAAACAGCUUUUUAACUUUGACUAGGCCAGUCCAUUACAGACUACAGCGGGGUUUCGCAGCUCAAGAAAGAACAUUUAUGAUCAUUACUUUAUGAAGAUGCAAUUAGACCGAGAUGCUAAGGCAGAAGAACUACCGCGUCUGCAGUGAAAAAUGAUUAAUAUGGUGAUUAUUACUUCAAGGAAAUGAUAAAGAAAUGUCACAUGUAUAAAUGAAAGAGGAGGAGGAACUACUUUUACUUUAAUUAUUUAGCUCCAACAAUUCAGUGUUCUGUAAAACCUCAAAGACUUUCAGACUGAUUUAGUUUAAUCUCUUUUGUCUGUGUUAUCUUCACUUCCCUGUUAAAUUACACAUAAAAUAAAAUAGUGUUUCUAUGUAGAUGAAUUACCUGGCUGUUUGGAGAUGCCACUUCCUGGUUGGAGCAAAAGGCGGGGCUUAAAGUGGAGGACAUUUAUGCUUCAGUUGGCUUGUUGGAAGAUACCAAGUGGUCUAAAGACAGGGGUGGGUUUGGUUAUUAUUACAUGAAAUGUAGUUGUACUUAGACCAUGAUCCAGUUCGCUCUUUGUAACCCAGAUAUGAAGCAUUGCUGUACAAAAGAUGAAUUUGAUGAAUAUAAAUUUUUCAGCAGCAGUUGUGCAAUCACGUUGAAUCUGUAUAUUGCACGAUUUGUCAAAGAUGUGCAAGAUUUUAAGUCCUGUGACACGCUGAGUGCAAUGCCAUGCAGACCCUUCAGCCGGGCCAGGCUGAAUGUCAACACACUUCUUUCUCGCUGCACAUUCCAGCUCUAAGGCCAGGCAACAGUCAAAGGAACCAGGCAAUUACAGCACAGCCGCCUGCGUCACUUUUCUGUUUACUUCCAGAAAGUUCAGAAGUCUCUGAGCCGUUUGAAGUCCUUUCCUCGUGUUCAAGGGGCUUCUCUCGUUCUCUCUGAAGGCAGAAAAUAGCUGUGAGCGAAGUGUACGGAUCCAGCUGUGUGCCAUACUCAGUCCCAUCUGGGCCACACUCUGCAUGUGGUUCACUACAGACACACAUACCGGCUGUUCACCAGUGUUGUUUGGGUUUUCUGUCAGGUUGCAGUCCAGCUAAUGAUUGAGUUAUAAUGAGAAAAUUCCAGACUUUGUUUUCUCGCAAAUUUUCUGCUCCAAAACUAAAAGAGUUGACAAAUGUUCCCUGAAGUAACAAACGAGGAAACAUUGUAACAAAUCACAAUAAAAAUGACGAGUAAUUACUAAACAUAGUAAAUAACAAAAAACACACAUUAACUUCAAAAGCUGUGCAGACUGAUCAAAAAUAUUCCCAUACAACUGUGACAAAGAGGCAGGCAUAGAUACAUAUAAGAAAGGCUAGAUGACUCGAGUCACUGGAGUCCCUACACGGCGGCCAUCUUACUCCAGUAUACCAUUCUGGUUCUCUCUAUGGUAGUUGACGGGAGGUGAGUAAUCUGCAUGAUCAGAAAUACUCUUAACUCGCUGAAAUUCUGACAGAUUUACAAACUGUUUUGUUUAUUGCAGACCUUAAUAAUGGGGGGGCUAUGAGUCGGGAUGUUUGGACAUACUGAAAUGGCAGAUUUACCUUGAGUAAAAAAAAGACUUAAUCAUGAAGCUCAGUUGUUUCACGGUCAUUUGUGCGCAAGGGCUAACUUUGAGUCGCUUUGUCAAGGCUGAGACCACAAUCAAGAUUUUUAUUUCUUGUAUGACAGACUAUUUUUUAUUUAUUUAUUUAGUCUAAGUGUCAGUCUUUGUGGAUGUGCUUGUGUUCACCAGCUGUCUAACUUGGCGAACAGACUCGCUGUGAGUGAGACCAAGAACAUAUUACAGAGUUGACCCAGUAAUUUUACAUCAAUUAAAGAGGCAGAAAUGCUCUUUAGAUUCAAUAUAACUGAAGUUGCACAUGAUUUCCAAGCUGUUUGGUUUGUUAGAAACAUAUUAAAUGGCAACAAAUAGAUAUUUAGAUAUGUUAUUGUUAUAUGUUAUUAUAGUUAUCCCUAUAAUAGAAAUAUAACUAAUAUAACAAAGUUUUAGGUUGAUGUUUUUUUUUUUUUUUUCUCUCUCAGUUUGAUGCACAAAGGAUCUGUUUCAGGUCUCUUUGGGUCGUCAGAAGGAAUGCACUGCACCGUUUAGAUUCCAGGUCGACAACUUCUUCUGCAACUAACUCUCGCUUUUCACUCCCAGGUGUGGUCAGGGCUGCACAGUUGAUGAGUUCGUCACCACAUGUCUGCACCCACAUCACAGGCUAAGAGUUAUCUGUGAACUCUUGGCUCUACUCCGCUGAUAUCCAGAGCCCCAACUGUGCAGCCUUGACUGCAGUUUGCAGGUAUUUAGAGUAUCUCAUUCAUGGACUUUAUCUAUUCAGCCGGCCUCUUCCUGAGUCUGAAAGGAGCAAAGCUGAGUGAAACAACUUUGACAUCCAGGGUCGAAACUAAACGUCCAGAAAGCUUCUUCAGCGUCUACCGCGGAGGCUUCAGUCCAGGUUUCAGUGUGACAACUAUCAGUGUGUUGGGCGUGUGAUGGUUUCAGUUUGGGAUUAGAAAUGUGAGUGAUGUUUAUACAGGAGCACUGUUCAAAUCACAUCCAACAGAAAUGUGUCAGGGUCCGAUGUGGCAGAGGGCGUAGUCCCUCUGCUCAGCCGAUGGUCAUCGGCCGCGCGGCCGGUGGCCGGGGGCUGAGCAGAGGGCGUCCCCAAAUAAGGACGCCCUCUGCGUCCACUGACUCAUGUGUACACACGAGACAAUCAUGUAUUUUUUCAUAUAUCACUGUACUUUGUACACUCUAGACCUUCAAAAUUCACCAAGAAGUGGGCAAGGUAGGACUCGAACCUAUAACCUUUGGAAUCCCAGUCUGUGUUCUUAUCCACUGAGCCACUUGGACACACAAGCAAAUUGGGUUUUAAACAUAGAUUUUCAUUUUAGCGUCACUUGAAAUAAAUUGCAAUUGAAAGUUGGAGCUUGUGUUUGUUUUUAAGAAAAAAGCUGCUGAUGUUAACUCCCUAAUCUUUUUGAUUAUUUGUGCUUUUGUUUUCUUCAUUAUUAUUAUUAUUAUUAUUAUUAUUAUUAUUAUUAUUAUUAUUAACUGAGAAGUACUAUGAAUGUACUAAAGGGAUAAAUUGACUUUACUCCAGAAUUGAGUUAGCAAUAAUUUAUUUAAAGCCUCUGUCUGGAGUUUGGCACCCCCUUGUGGACAAACUUAUACCUCUAUAUCCUUAUAGUAGGCCAUGUGGCUCGUGUGUCCACAUGGCUCACAGGAUAAGAACAUUGACUGGGACUCCUGAGGUCUGGGUUCAACCCUUCUUCAGGAUGAAUUUUGAAGUCCAGGAGCAAAAGUACCAAGAUAAAAGCACGCAGAGCUCAUGCCCAACUGUGGAUGGUCUCCGGUGGCGCAGUGUGGUAGACAUCUAACACCCUAAUGUGAGCCAUGUGUUCUGGUUGAAGACUGGCUCCUGGUUCGAAACCCGCUCAGCCCAGGGGUGUGGGGUUACCCCCCCCCGGUGUUUCCAGAGAGAUAAAAUAGUGGGGUUAUGCAACAGGAAGUCAGAGCAGGCUGAACUUUAGAGUAAGGAUGGGGAGAAGUGUUGCGGGGGGGAUUAAAGGGGGGGCGGCCUUUGGUCACCGGCCGCGCGGCCGGUGGCCGGGGGCUGAGCAGAGGGGCGUCCCCAAAUAAGGAUUGAACCCACUGACUCAUGUGUACACAAUCAUGUAUUUUUUCAUAUAUUACUGUACUUUGUAGACUCUAGACCUUCAAAAUUCACCAAGAAGUCAGCAAGGUAGGACUCGAACCCACGACCUUUGGAGUCCCAGUCAGUGUUCUUAUCCACUGAGCCACUUGGACACACAAGAGAAUUGGGUUCUUUUUUCACAUAUCGCUGUCCUUUGUGGACUAAGACUUGAACCUACGAUCUCAGGAGUACCAGUGAGUCUCCUUAUCCCCUGAGCCAUGUGGACACAGAAGACCAUCAUGUUUUUUUUCAUAUAUCGCUGUACUUUGUGGACACUAAAUUUCAAAAUUCACUUAGAACUGGGCAAGGCUGGACUCGAACCUAUGACCUCAGGAAUCCCAGUCAGUGUUCUUAUCCUCUGAGCCACUUGGAGACACAGGAUUAUACUAUUUGUUUUCUCUUUCAAUUUCCUGUCUAGACACUAGACUUCAAAAUUCACCUUGUCCCGAAAAAGGCUCGAACACACCACCUCAUAGUAGGGUCUGUUCACUUGAAAAAAUGGCCAAAUUGUUAUGCGGUGGAUAAAAGCACCAAAUUUGGUACACACAUUCUUCAGGGUGUAUCUCAUCAUCUCAGAAGGGGUGCCCAAAAAUGCAUGAGUGAAAAUGGCUCAAAUGGAGGUCGUAUACCUGACCCAGUACAAAAGUCUCUCGUUGAUUUAUUUAGCAGAUAAAAAGGGAGUCCAUCUCUGCUGCUCUGAAACCACAUCUGAGUCCAAAAACAAAGACAAAGAAUAACUUCAUACUGCAAAACAAAGUGUGACGCCUGUCAGGAAACCUUAUAAAUCACAGCAUGAAGAUGGCGGGGGGUUAUUAUUAUAUGCCAUAAUAAGGUGUUGGUGUCUCUGCAGGUGUAGGUUACCGCCGGUGUCAGAGACAUGGUGCUCGUCGGAGCUCGACUUCCUCUGGAUCACAAAUGUUGAUCAUCAUCAGUUUGAUUGUUUCUUCAGAAACCACAAAAUCUCUCUGAAUGACCCGCUGAUACAUCCACAGAUAACCCUGCAUAUGACCAGCUUCAGUCAUUUCCCCCUCCACAAAAGCAGCUUCAUGACUUUAUUUACUUUAUGACUUUAUUCUCCUAAAUUUACAACUUUAAUCUCUAAAUGUUGUCCUGAUACUCUGCUGUAGUUUUGUCAGCUUUCUUAUUUCUAAUGUUUUUGAUAGUUGAAGCAGAGCGGAUCAGUUCGUCUCUAAAACUAUGAUGUUUGGUUUACAGAUUUUAGUGAGUUCAGAGAUCAUGCUCUCAUACAGCCUGAGCUGACUGUCUGCUGUUUUUGGAUUUCUUGUAUUUUCUUUGAAGACACGCUGUGUCUCCAAGCGAGUCCAGCCUCUCACCUGAAAUGCGCAGCUGUGCAGCGGCACGCAAAGCAUUCUGGGAUACCGACUCGCUUGGAGACGCAGCGCGUCUUCAAAGAAAUUACAAGCAAUCCAAAAACAGCAGACAGUCAGCUCAGGCUGUAUGAGAGCAUGAUCUCUGAACUCACUAAAAUCUGUAAACCAAACAUUAUAGAUUUAGAGACGAACUGAUCCGCUCUGCUUCAACUAUCAAAAACAUUAGAAAUGAGAAAGCUGACAAAACUACAGCAGAGUAUCAGGACAACAUUGAGGUUUUUUUCUUUUAAGAUUUAGAGAUUAAAGUUGUAAAUUUAGGAGAAUAAAGUCAUAAAGUAAAUAAAGUCAUAAAGCUGCUUUUGUGGAGGGGGAAAUGACUGAAGCUGGUCAUCUGCAGGGUUAUCUGUGGAUGUAUCAGCGGGUCAUUCAGAGAGAUUUUGUGGUUUCUGAAGAAACAAUCAAACUGAUGAUGAUCAACAUUUGUGAUCCAGAGGGAGUCGAGCUCCGACGAGCACCACGUCUCUGACACCGGCCGUAGCCUACACCUGCAGAGACACCAACACCUUAUUAUGGCAUAUGGAUUCAUAUCAUAAAUUAAAGCUCAAUGUCAUUCACGGAUAUUUACGGCUGCAUUGACAGAUAUAUCCUCAGCAUAUUCAUUUCUGCCUCCACAAAAGCAGCGAUUUCCUUCAAGUACACCAGUUUUUUUCCCCGUGGAAAAGACGUAUUUCUCAUAUAUUCUUUUUUUAAAUUUUUUUUUCUUUAUACUUAUGACAAUGUGAUGCUGAUGUGCCAGAGGAUGAAGUAUCUCCUAUCCUCCUUCUCAAUAGGGCCCUCAUACUCCUUCAUACAAAACAAUCAUUGGAUUAAUUUUGUGGGAAUGAUCUGUGCUUGUAUGUAUCUACUAUUUUGUGUCUGUGCAAGGUCGCACAAUUAAAACAAUACAUGCUGCGCUCCGCAGCUUUUUUCUAAUCAUUCGUGACGUAAGCCUGAGGGCGGGGACAUUUGGAGACCUUCAGAGGACUUCCUGGUGGAGUUGCCAAAUGUCCCCGCCCUCAGGCUCGCGUCACGACUGACUUAAAGGAAACCCGCGGAGCGAGCAUUUAUUGUUUUAAUUGUGCAACCUUGCACAGACACAAAAUAGUAGAUACAUACAAGCACAAUUCAUCCAAUGAUUGUUUUGUAAGAAGGAGUAUGAGGGCCAUAUUGAGAUUUAAGACUUUAAGGACUUCGAGAUUUAAGUCGUGAAUUUACGAGAAUAAAGUCAUUAAUUUAUGAGAAUGAAGUCAUAACCUGUUAUUUCAGAGAGACUUGUUAAAAUUAGGGCCAUGAAGCAUUUGAAGGAACUGUGCUUCAGUAUAGGUUUCACAAACAAGGAGAUUCUUCAUCCUCUGGCACAUCAGCAUAACAUUGUCAUAAGUAUAAAGACUUUAAGAAGAAUAUAUGAGAAAUACGUCUUUUCCACGGGGGAAAAAACUGGUGUACUUGAAGGAAAUCGCUGCUUUUGUGGAGGCAGAAAUGAAUAUGCUGAGGAUAUAUCUGUCAAUGCAGCCGUUAAUAUCCGUGAAUGACAUUGAGCUUUAAUUUAUGAUAUGAAUCCAUAUGCCGUAAUAAGGUGUUGGUGUCUCUGCAGGUGUAGGCUACGGCCGGUGUCAGAGACGUGGUGCUCGUCGGAGCUCGACUCCCUCUGGAUCACAAAUGUUGAUUAUCAUCAGUUUGAUUGUUUCUUCAGAAACCACAAAAUCUCUCUUAAUGACCCGCUGAUACAUCCACAGAUAACCCUGCAGAUGACCAGCUUCAGUCAUUUCCCCCUCCACAAAAGCAGCUUUAUGACUUUAUUUAUUUUAUGACUUUAUUCUCCUAAAUUUACAACUUUAAUCUCUAAAUCUUAAAAGAAAAAAAAACCUCAAUGUUGUCCUGAUACUCUGCUGUAGUUUUGUCAGCUUUCUCAUUUCUAAUGUUUUUGAUAGUUGUAACACAGCGGAUCAGUUCGUCUCUAAAUCUAUAAUGUUUGGUUUACAGAUUUUAGUGAGUUCAGAGAUCAUGCUCUCAUACAGCCUGAGCUGACUGUCUGAUGGUUUUGGAUUGCUUGUAUUUUCUUCGAAGACGCGCUGUGUCUCCAAGCGAGUCCAGCCUCUCACCUGAAAUGCACAGCUGUGCAGCGGCACGCAAAGAAUUCUGGGAUACCGACGGCACGAAAGCGUGCAUACAUGCACGCUUGAAAACGAGGCGGGGGUAGUGUGGUUUUGAGACCGAAUUUGAAGCGCGCUUAGUAUUUUGUGCCAAACGGGACACCGUUCGUGCCGCGUGGUGACCUCACGUACGCGUCAGAUGCGCCGUUCGAUGGCUGCUGUAUCUGAAAUGGGACACAGGAAGGGCACAGAACGGCGCAAAACGGCGUAAAACGGCUCAAAACGGCAGUGCACUCAGCUAAGCGCCGUUAAGCGCGCUUAUCACGAUGCGGUCUCUGAAAUGAGACACAGCCUUAGCAUCUCGUGCCAAAUGGGACACCGUUCGCGCCGUCGUAACGUCAUGCGCACUGACGCACUGAAAAGCCAAAAAGCCACGCCCCCUCACACAGAAAAAAAACCUUUGAAAUUCGCCAAACCAGAGGAGCAGUAAGCAGAGAGGGAAAACGGUCACCAUUACAACACUAACAUGUCAAAAAUACAGUUAAAUUUACUGUGUUUUUUCAAAAUGAAGGAAGAGUUUCAUGACACUCCAAAAACGAGUCAGUAAAGCCUCUACAAGCGGCGACGAGGGCAGCAACUGCGGCGGUUAUGUUACCGGUUUAAACCGGCUACAGCAGGAGGCUCGCGAGCGCCGCGACCAUAGACUGUAUACACUAUACUAUAUUCUACUAUACAGUCUAUGGCCGCGACAGUUAGCCGAGCCAAGGCAGGAGGCUGGUACCGCGGCAGGAGCUGGUUAGGUUCACCGCCAGCCGGAGCAGGAGCCGGUUACAGCCCGGUGGGCCACCAUCAGGCGGAUACGCUGGUAUCAGUUAACCCGGUACAACAACCGGAGUAAGAGGCGGGAACCGCGACAUCAGCAGAAAGAUCGAGAAGGAGAGGAGAGCGGACCGAGGAGAGGACUGAGGGACGGGAGGUCGUGGGUGAUCAAAGGACCCAGAACUGUCACAGACACACGGAGUUAAACCCGAAAUAGGAGGAGGAGGAGGAGGAUCCGGACAUGGUCGUGAUGUGGAGGAGUUUUGGACUAAACACGGUGAGUAAACUGUCUAUUAACAGGCCGCCGUGCCAAACUUUGACUAAUAAUAAUAGUAAUAAUAGAAGAUUUGUGUGAUUUAUUUAAAGCUCUUUUCUACGUUAGACAUGUUGAGAAAGUUAUUUUGCUGACUCUUUACUGCAAGUCCCACCUGUGGUGUUGUGGGCAUUUGUCUGUGCUGUGCAGAGUAGGGGAGAGUGGGUUAAGAUGAUCCAUUUUUCAUAUUUCAGAUCACUCCAUCAAGUCAAUCCUAGUUAUUCCAUGGAUGUUAUUUGAAGUUGAGGCUUGUAAGUCCCACAGCAUGGUAAGUGGGCAUUUGCAUGUUGUUUUCAGUUCAUUUUCGAUAAAUGUUCCGGGACCCGUCUCCUCAUCCCUGAGCUCUCAUAUUAUGAUUUACUAAUUAAAUACUGUGAAGAGGUGGUUCAAAAGUUAGAGACAAACUUUUGCAGAUGUUGAAAGAUCAACAAUUCAGCUCAUUGAGGACCAUUAUUUCUUAUUUUGCAGACGAGCAGGGAACUUUCUUGUCUCUUGUUGAUCUUUGGUUGCCUCUCAUUGGACACAACCGUCAAGGGAAAGAUAGAAGAAGAAUAUUAGACCAUGUAAUUGGUCGAAAGUUUGACAGAGAAAGACGUCAUCAAAACAUAUCGUCAAACCUGGAAGACAUUAGCGGCAUUUAGCGAUAGCUAUCUUUUUUAUCACAACAGUCUGAUAAAUAAUCCUGUUUUCACCGGUUUAUCACUGCGGAUUUACCACCAAACGUCUCUGAUCAAACACCUGUUUUUGUGGCUGGAUUGUAAACCUUGUGGCCGGUGUAGAAAUGUCUGGAAACCCUCAAUAGAUCGCCAAAAGGGUAAACUUUUGAUCACAUUUUAUCCUGUAGAGAUACGCUGUAUAAUUCCUGAGAAACUGUGAACUGUAUUAAUGGGGUCACGUGAGAUCGCUGGCGAUCCAGCAGAGUUCUAAGUGUUAAAUAAAUAAAGGCUCUCUUCUCUUCUUUUAGCCAACAACUCUUCCUUCAGUCCUGGGAUCUCCCCCCAGUGGACAGGAAGAGGAUCUUUUCCAAGUCAAGUAUCCAGGAUAAGGGUGCCAGAUGUAAAGAAAAACACUCUGAUUAGUGACCUUUAGAUUAAAACAGCAACACUUAAAUCGAUCCGCUCCUUCAAGUGGCUCUGUCAGAGAAACAAACAGUAAAAAGCCUUCCUUUGUUAGCAGAUCCUCGCUGCAGGAAAACCUCCUCUGUCCUCAUAAUUCCCCUCCUCUCUCUUUGGAGCCACUGAAACUGCCCGUGUCAUAAAAGCUUUGUUGGAUUUAGGGCCUAUAGGAAGCCUCGGGCCCCUGGCCAAUUCAAGCAAGCUGCUCUCAGCGAGUGAAACCAGAGAAAUGGCAAUGCUCGUGGGAGCAGGGGUAAUGAUUCAAAGACACCCAUUCAGCAGCCGCACACUCUCCCAGGGCCAUAAGCUACACAAUCAGGACUAUACAAGGAUCACACACUCUCUCUUCGUACCUCCAUGUAGUCAGUUAUGCAUACGUCUUACUGAUUGUUUUAAUGUUCUCAGUAAAGUGCCGACAAAAUCCUUGGAUUUAUGGACAUUUUUCAACAGUUUAGGGUCUGUUUAAAAGCCGUUAGCAGUGAAAAUAAACUCUUAUUUUGACCUCCUGUUAGAGAAUAAAUUUACCUCAUCACACUGGAGUCAUAAAACAUUUCUAAACCUAUUAAAUUAGCGACAUCAACUGCAGCAUAAUCAAAUUCCCUGCAUUAAAGAGCAUUUUGGAGACAUUCUGGGUAGCUGUCAGAAGUCAUUAAGUAAGAAAAGAAAGGUCACAUUGGGACACCAAACCAUAACGAAAAACAGAAGAGAAAUAAAUCCUCCUCCUUUCAGUGCGUUCAUCAACCAGUGUAUUAUUAAAGUAGAAAAAGCCCACCUUCAAAAUAUGAUUGAAGCUUUUGCACCAGCAGGUCAAGUUUUAGUCAGGGAAGGAGAUUUUACCAAAGACAGAUAGUUUUACCUGAGAAGCAGGUCGUCCUGCAAUCCAUGCAACAGCGUCAGAGCUAGUGGACAGGAUGUACCGCAAAACAGCUACUACAGGUCCCAUCACAGUAACAUCACCCAGAGUACGAUGCAUCAAUUAACACCAGGCAAAUCGGGGAAGACGAUAAGUCGGAAACCAAAUAAGGCAGUUUGCGCAAAAUGCUGAAAAAUUUUUGGUUUAGAUAGCUCUCCUCACAGUUUCUCUUUAAAGGAGCUGAACUAAACUGCAUCUAAUAUGGCUGAAACACUUAUCCUGCAUUCGAGUUACCUUGGAAAUCAGAUGUCGGAGCUGAAAAUGACGUCACACUCAAGUUUCAGUUAGCAAGUCUGGAAAAAAAAGCAAAAUCAGAGGCAGAAACAGGAUGGCUACAUCCACGAAAGUUAUUUUAACGCUUGUCUUAUGUCCGGACAAGGCAAGUGCUAAAAUAACUUUCAUAGACGUAGCCAUUUUGUUUCUGCCUCCGAUUUUGCUUUUUUACAACUUGGGAACUAAAACGCUGGUAACUCGGGUGUGACGUCAUUUUUAGUGACGUCACACCCAAGCGUUCGUAAAAAAACAACAACAGUGUUCAAAUCUGUGACAUCUGUGUCAUCUGCAAAGACUUAAAGACACCUGCAGAGGUCUGACUCACCUUGCCUAAUGUUAAGGAUUAUGUUGCUAUGGAAACGUUUCCGACUUGUAAAUCAGCAGGACUAAUGAUGUGUUCAAGUGACCUCAGAAGUAAGAAGUCCGAGCUGAAAAUGACGUCACACCCGAGCUACCAACGUUUCAGUUACCAAGUUGGAAAAAAAAUCAAAAUUGGAAACAAGAUGGCUACAUCUACGAAAAUUAUUUUGGCGCUUGCCUUGUCCGAAUAUAAGUCAAGCGCCAAAAUAAAUUUCGUAGAUGUAGCCAUCUUGUUUUAGGCUUCUGAUAUUGCUUUUUUUUUCCGACUUGGUAACUGACGUGAGUGUGACAUCAUUUUCAGCUCCGACAUCUGACUUCCGAGGUAACUGUAACGCAGCAUAAACACAUCAUUUAUAAAUCAAUAAUGUUUAAACUCGUGUCUCGUGUGGAUUAGAUAGCGCCUUUCACUCAUUCAGGGUUCUAAUUAGCUUGAACAACCCCCUCACUUUCAUUACCCUGAUCCCCGUCAGUCUGUGAAUUACUCAUAAAUGGUUGCGUAGUUCCUCCUUCAAACAAAGCCCUUCGUUGUAAUUUUACUUCCUAGAAUGAGCUAAUAUGAAGUCAAACAGGGUUCCAGAGAUUUUCACUCUGAUCUAAUUUCUUACAUCUGACAUUUAUCAGCAACGAGGGAAACUAAUACGACUUGAUUUGCUGUUUUAUUAGCAAUGCAACAGAAAAGAGGACCUUGUUGGUCUAAUGACAACACACCCCCUCCGCUGAGAUUGAAGUCACAUUGGCUGUUGGUAACGAGGACAGUCAGGAAAGCUGCCAGGGCGCAUGAUCAAUUGUUGUCCUUGCAUCACAUUGAGUCCGGUCCUGGUGUUUGCAUACACAGUUUAAAGGACUCUAUCGGUAACAGGGAGGGAAAAUGAAAAAAGGUGUCCGGUAAAAUGUUCCUUUCACAAUCUGAUUUCAUGCCUCGGUGCCUGUGCGCGGAUAAUAACUGACCUAUUGUUGGGGUGACUGCAAAUCAUGUAAAAGCCAUAAUCUAAGUCUUACAAUAAUCUGGGUUUUUACUGUAAUCGACUUGUUUGUUAAUGUCCCGUGUGAAUGUUGCUUUCAUGUAUUUAUGACUCAUGUUUGACUGAAAUAACCCCACCGCCUGCCCCCACCCCGCUGCCCUCACAACACACCCUCACACACUAAUCAAUACGAACACCCAUGCUGUAAUGUGUGUGUUAGUGUAUUUUCUCUGCCCUGCAGCUCGACACAACCCUGCAACACAUCUUUAACAAUCAGGCAGAGAAAAGACCAACCCCCCCCGCCCCACACACACACACACACACACACACACACACACACACACACACACACACACCCAAUACUCCCCCCUUAUAAAUACAUAAGCACUGCUUUACAAUAGGGCACAGCAUAUGUGAGUGUUCAUGGGGCUGUCAGGGGAGGGGGGCAUGCUGAACAUGGGUUACAUGAGGUGAUAGUCAAUAGUCAGUGUGUUACCCACAGAGGAUGCUGGCCGGCUCGACCCCUUUUGUUGAGAAACCAGCUGGAGCGCCGGGACAGAAACUGAAAAUCUCUGCAGACGGGGUCAAACUCAGACCCAAAGACUGAAUUUAGAAAAGUUUCAAAACAUAAAUGUAAUUAAUGUAAAAUUAAUUUAGGGUCAGACUAGUGCUGGGCGAUAGGACGAUACAUAUCGUGGGCACGAUAGAAAAUGUCUAUCGUGCCAUUUUUAUUGUUAUCGUUUCGGGCGAUAGGCUGUAUUUAAUCCAUAGGGCUUGUGCCAUCAGAUGAUUCAUAGUGACAACAACAAAAAUUGCACAUUCAGUAAGUGUAUUUGGUGUCGAACGGGAAAGAAAACAAUAUUUUCUUACAAAGAAAAGGAUGCGUUGACAUGUAGGCUUGCAUUUCUCUUUCGAUUUUGCGACAUGACGCCGCUUAACGUGCCCUCUUCGUGUCCAGCGUCUCCCGCCGUUGCGGGUUACCUGGGUUACACACGUGAGGGGAUCAUUGUAAGCAGUGCUUAAUUUGUGCCGGAGCAAGUCGGAGCGCGAUCCGGGACCUCUUUUGAUCGGAUCCGGGACCUAUUUCAGCCGCUCCGGCACCUGUUUCAUCUGCUCCGGGACCUUCCCUGUAGAGGAUGACAUUUUUCGGGAAUUCCCGUGGGUCACGUGAUUCCCGCGGGAAUCCCACGGGAUGGGAGUCAUUUUUUAAUUAAUCCCUUGAUCGGGACGGGACGGGGAAAAAGGCAACGGGAGUGGGCAGGAGCGGGAACAACAUUAAAAGAUGAUCAUUUUCAGCCGUGUUUAACAACCAGCUGAACAGGUGCGUCCAUUGUUGUAGUCAUCUCUCAGUGAGAGCCAACACUCUUGACCGCGCUAGCAACACAAAAGAACUACAACAGUGGUUUGACUUCCUGUCAGCUUGGCGCGGCUGCGCAUUUCUACCCUUCAAGCCAGCAGCGAGGAAACGUAAUUUUGUGACAUUCUGUAGUUUUUCAAUCAUUUCUGGAGUCGUGGCGAAUCAAAUCACCUUACCUGUCUGCCCCUGAUAGGCGAAUAAAGCGCUCGGAUUCAUGCUCGGGUCUUCCUACGUGCUUCAAGAGUAAAGUAAACAAUGAUGGAGGCAGAGAGCAGCUUUGGAGGAGAAACAUCUAGCAGUGUGAACAACCUCUUCAAAAGAGCCCUAAAGACCUACCUUUUUAAUAAAGCCUUUGGUUAACUUUCCUCUAUGCUUUUACUACCUUGCCUCUUACAUUGCAACUCUAUAUUUUUUAUUUUUUUAAAUUCUUUUUUUAUGCCAAUCUGUGACUGUUAUUCUAUUGCUUUUUUAUUGUUGCUGCUCUUUUUUUACUGUGUACUGUAGCACUUUUAGAUUUUUUGUAAAUGUAAAGUGCAUUACAAAUUAAAUUUAUUAUUAUUAUUAUUAUUAUUAUUAUUAUUAUUAUUAUGGAGUGCUUUGGCUCACACUAUCGGCGUUUUCUGUGAGUGUUGCAUAACUUUGGGUGAGCACAGACAUGAACGCACUUCGGCCACGUAUUUAUUUAUUCAUUUUUCUAGUUUUAAGUGCUGGUCUUGUACUGGUACUGUACUAGUGCAGCUGUAUACACUUAAAUUUUUCAUAGAACUGAAAGCAUACCAUAGCUAUAUUGUGAUAUAUAUCGUUAUCGUGAUAUAAAAUGAUCCAUAUCGUGAUAUACAUUUUUUUCCAUAUCGCCCAGCACUAGGUCAGACAGACCGUAACACUGAGUUAGACCCCCCCCUCCAGAGAUGAAUGUUGUCGACCGCUUGCUUCUCUAGUUAUACCAACUUUAGUAACGACCGCAGGAUAGUAAUACAGAGAGGUCUGAGGAGCCAUAAACAAACCUCAACCAAAACACCACUCUAUAGCCACAAAUAAUGCUCAGAACAGCACCUAACUUCAUCAACAGGACAUACAGGGUCACAGACAUAGUACCAGUGUUACAGCCCGGCUCGUAGGCUGUUACAAGUAAUGGGGAAGACACAGAGUGUUAUUGUUAAACAAAGAUGAACUCACUUUCUAAAUUAAUGAACAUGUUUCCGUUAUGUGUGUGAGUGAGAGUCAGUAAGGAAACUAGGUGUCAUGCAGUGUAAGUGUUGAGGAGCGUGUCGGGUGCAUUAAAGAAACAAAAGUAGCUGCUUGGAGGAUGAAGGAAGAGAGGGAGCGUGAGGCCGCGGCGGAAGUCGGUCUUUUAUAGCCCCGGUAACACACUGGGCCCUAGUGGUCACCGGAACACGUCAGCCACUGCACCUCAAAAUAAAACAGGACAUAUAUACUCGGUCACAACUAGACACCAAACGUCUUUUUAACUUUUUUUAGCAAAGAGACUAAACACAACUCACCUACUCUCUUCCAGCAGACGCUUGUUUGUAGAGAGACCUCAGGCCGGUCUAUUACAGACUACAACGGGGUGCCGCAGCUCAAGGAAGAACAUUUAUGAUCAUUUCUUCAUGGAAAUACAAUCAGACCGAGACGCUAAGACAGAAGAACUACCACGUCUGCAGUGCAAAAUGGUUAAUAUGGUGAUUAUUACUUCAAAUAAUCGAUAAAGAAAUGAUCAUAAAUGUUCUUGAUUGAGCUGCGGCACCCCGCUCCUCAGACCGCUGUGUAUUGCUAUCCCACAGUCGUUACUCAAGUUUUGUUAUAACUAGAGAAGUAAGCGGUCAGAAUCUGAAUGAAUCUGACGCAGUGUUCAAAUCAAAUGUAAAUAAAACUAUUUACUCGCUUAAUUCGUGUAAAUAACUCACUCCGCUUACGUACUCUGUUAAAUUCACAAAAAGGAGGAAUUUCCGUCACGCCAUUAUGGUCUGUUUUCAACAAACGUGGCUGCAAGGAUUUCUGUGUUUUUACAACUUAACCAGAAUGUACAUCACAGAUUUGAAGCGCAGACCAGAAGAGAGAGGGGACAAACUUCUGUGCAGGAUGGAGAGCAAGAAAAAUUGUCUGGUGGUCCAGGUGUGUAAACUGUGAACCUGGGGAAACUCAGAGAAGACUCGGUAGAUCUUACAUCAUUUGUACAACAACAAAAGCACUGAAGCGUGAAGUACGCACCGUGUGAAUGGGGUGAAUUGUGUACAUCAAGUGUAAAAUCAGAGGGUAAAGCGAUGGUGGGGUGAGGUGGGGUGAUGAUGGGAGGGGUGUAAAGCAGUAAAGGAGGGGUUUAGCGGCAGCUGCCCAGAGAGUGACGACUGUACAGGAGGGAGGCAGAGGAAUAAGAGCGAGGGAAAGAGGAGCAGAGGGAGGGAACCCCGAGAGGGGGGAGCAUGCAGGGACGGAGGGGUAGAGCCUGAGCUGUCAGUGCAGGAGAGCGGAUGGAGGAGUGAGAACAAGCAGAGCUGCACGCCAAACAAACUACGCCAAACAGUGCAAAACUUGGUGCAUAUGAGGGAUUUAUACGCAGGCAGAUCCAGGAGGAAGACAAAAGUCACAACGGGGUAAAAAUACGAUUUCAGGUUUUCCAUGGGAACAGGAUUCCUUAAUGGUCCAUGUUUCUGGUUUUUGAUGGUUUCCGUGCUCCUGGUCCCACCAGCUGCCAGCACUGUCACAGGGUUAUUGAGGCCUUGAGCCACACAGAUAAUCAGCUUUAUUAGUGCUGCCGCUAAAACCAAUUUAAGAGCAGACUAGAGGGAUCAGACGGGCCAGCUGUCCACACCAGCGCCUCGGCAGGCACCCCGGCCCCAGCCCACACAAAACACCAAAACAACAACGAGCCAACUGUGCGCACUGCCAAUUCAACUGUGUGAGCAGGCUUAUUACCAUAUCUCUGAGGAUGAAAAUCAAACGCAGCCUUUACUAAAUCUGUUUUUUUACUGAUACAACUGUUAGAAAACAAAGAAGUGUCCGCAGGUUUAAAGGUUACAGAGGAAUAAAAGACGCGUUUAUAACGGUAAUGACGUCUUCAGACCCUCAAAGUUGGCAGGAGACCAAACCAUGAUUUCCUUUUUGCUCUGAAUCCAAACCAAACCACUUCCAGUUCUUUUCACAGCACAGUCAAAACAUCCUCGCUCAUUAACCAGCCUCUGACCCUGACAGUGACCCACCGCCAGCCUCAUGAUCUCAUGGCGUUCUCCCCUCCGCGUACAGUCAAUCCUGACCUGUUGCCGCUGCCAAUUACAGCGAGGCAGCGAAAGGAGGCUAACUCCAUAUUAGACAGAGUGAGCGUGCAGCAGCGGGCUCCAGGCACGACUUUUACCUUACGUCACGUUUCCGUCUGGGUUGAGAGCGAGACAGUGAGAACGACGGGCAAAGAUAAUCUGGUCUGGUCACUAUCUCAGUUACAUCCACACCCUGACAGGGGAACCAGUCUGGUACUCUGGGACUGAGGUUUCAGGCCAGAUUAGGCAGGAAAGGGCAAGUGAAGAACAAGGCGUCUUAAUGGACUGGGGCACCAGGACAGCUUCAUGCUGUCUGGAUAAACACUUCCCUCACAUUCACACACUUACGACUCCUUCUAUGAUGAUGUGAUGAUCACUUACAGGGGGGAGGAUUUCUGCAGCCCCUUUGCAACUAUUUCUUUACAACGUGACGCUUGCAGAAAGAAAAUGAUCAAAGUUUUACAAGCUAAUGAAGACUUUUGUUUGUUGUUUGUUUGCAUGUCAAACAUCGUUUCUUCAUUUCGCUCUGUUCGGGUGGUUACACGAUUUAUUGACGAGGACUGUGAGCGUCAGAGGACUGAUAGUUUUGCGUUGCAUGAUACAUUUGUCAGUAUUUUGAUCUCUGGUUAGGCUGGGAUAUAACCAGUAUGUAUAACCUGCACAGAUCUGUUAGAUCUGAAUAUGACCGGGAGUGGACAGCAUUAUGCUGGAUAGCGUACAUCCUGCCAGAGAAGAAGGGAAAGCUGAAAGUGGGAAAACUGAGCAAACAUUAGCAAGGGACAACACCAGGCACUAAACAGAAGAGACAUCUACCAAACUGAAGAAAACAGAAUUACAGCAAACUCAAACUGCAUCAUAGUUUGCCUUUUAAAGGACUUGGAGACUUUAAAAGUUACAGGAAAGCAAACCUAUUUACAUUUGCAAAGACAGUCAAUAAAAACACUUAAGUUUGAACAUUAAUCGAGGUACUAAAAUCAAAUAAAUCUAUCAAUAUCAAUCUUCUAAAAACAGGAUAAAAACAGUUAAAAACUCAAAUAUGUUCACAGCGAUUAGACAUGUUAACAGCCCAUCAACAGGCUUACACAGCUCCUACUUAUGGUUCCACAUAAGCACAAAAGCCUGCUACAAUGCCCAAGAGGAAAGCUCCAGUCCAGAGCAGUAAUGAUCUAUGUGUGUAUGUGUGUGUGUGUGUGUGUGUGUGUGUGUGUGUGUGUGUGUGUGUGUGUGUGUGUGUGUGUGUGUGUGUGUGUGUGUGUGUGUGUGUGUUUGUCAGGGUACACACAUGUACACACACAUGCAGCUUUCUUCAGGCGCCUCUUGUGUGCGUCUGUGUAAGAACAUGCCAGCCUUUCAUUCAUUAAUCUGUGUGUGUUUGUAUGUGCACGUGCAGUCUCUUAAUUUCAUGGGUGCGUGUUUAAAUGUGCAUGAGCUUAUUCACAUGCAUGUUCCAGCUCGUGUGUGUGUGUGUGUGUGCAGGAUCUGCAGGGCAGAUUCUUCGGCACCAGGAGCGCCGAUCUCACUUAAUCUGCAGUUAACGGCUGUUUAAACAACCUCCAUAAAUGUUUAACGUUGCUGCCCAUGCCCUAUUGAAUGGGAGGCAUUUUACUUCAUGCAAAAACAGGCCACCAGGGGCCUCAAGGGCCCCCCUGACUUGCAUUUAAUGUGUGUAAGAAGGCGCCCAUUAUCAGCCUCACAAUGACACAAUUCACUCUGGCUGUGUGUCUGCCAUCCCAUUUGGUUUGUAUCAGGGCCCCUGUGCUGCUGAUGGCUAUCUAAUUGGAAGAGUUCAUCAGGAGCUGAUGUCUGAAGAGUGGAAGUGUUCACGAUGGACUGGGCUCCAUGUGUUUGUUCCAAAAUGACUUUGUGAAGUGGAGUCAGAUGCAGUUUUGCACAGAAUGAACCAAAAAAAACAGGAGAUGACGGUUACGGAGGAGGUUUUGUGUUUGAAGGAGUUUCAUAUUUGCUCUCACUUGAGUUCAAAAACAAAGCAGCAGACUCGCUCUGUUUGUUUGUCGGAUAAAACCUUUUCCAGGAGGCGCUCGGCUUUAAACUCGGGACAUGUUUUAUACAUGUUCGGGGCUAAAAUGACAGACGUGUUCAGAAAGUUUUAGAGCUCUCUACAAGGUCGCUGCAGGCAGUAGUUUGAAAACAUGCUGCAGCACAGAGCAUCCAUGGUAAUGUGUGAUAGUAUGGAAAACUUCACCACAGGGCGCGUUUCUUUGGGAGCAUCUCUCCUUUCGAAACUGACUAAGCAGAUUUAUCCUGCUGGUCCUCUUCUGCCUUAUUUGGCGACUGUUUUGGGACUUUGAUGACCUGAAUGGGUUCAUAUCUGUGUCUGGUAAUUGAUCAGUGCCGGUCUGACAUAGUUGGCAGGGCUUGACACUAACUUUUUUUUACAAGGAGCGCGUGUUCUCCUAAGUUAAAUAAGUAAGGAGCACACAAAGACCUUUAGGGGCACAAUAAAAAUUGAUCAAAUAAUGUGUGUCUUAUAUUGGUUGACAUAAUUAUUAUGAUUUGGAAUCGAUUUUAGGUCAAUUGGUCACAUGACAUGGAAGCUAUUGAAGGAAAACAGCCUUUUUUGAGAACAUCAACCGGUAAUUUAUUGACGGUCCCUUAUUCAACACCGACGUUGACAGUGAGGGUGUCGAGUAGAUUUAACCGCGCUACUGUUGUUAUUCCCGGUUAUGGAGAGUGAGAAGACACCGGUAGAUCCUCAGAGAAUGUCCGUCAGAUAUCCAACCUAAAACUAACUUCACCGCCGUAUUUACAGGAAAAUUUAUCCAACCUAAAACUAACUUCACCGCCGUAUUUACAGGAGAAUAUAUCCAACCUAAAACUAACUUCACCGCCAUAUUUACAGGAAAAUAUAUCCAACCUGAAACUAACUUCACCGCCGUAUUUACAGGAGAAUAUAUCCAACCUAAAACUAACUUCACCGCCGUAUUUACAGGAAAAAACGUUUGUUGCCUUGGCUGAUUUUUCUAUGCGCACAUGUGACCCUAACUACAUUUUACAAUUCGCACACAUCUAUUUUUAGUUGCAAAUGUGAGUGAAACGGUCGCACUGUCGAGCCCUGCAUAGUAAUACUAAUUCAUCGUAUGGAUCAGAUUUAAAGUCUUACAUGGACGAGUGGAAACAUGGACUUCACUUCUUCCACGGUUUAACAGAAAUCCCCCUACCCUGAGUGCGCACACACUCACACACACACACACACACACACAGAGUAAAUGGUGUGUGUUGUAUGAUGAGCGGUGCAUUAACAGAGCAGGACUCCCUGCUCUCAGCGCUCUAGGGGAGCACAGUGAUUUACUGUUCCUGUUAUAAACGCCGCUCCGUUCCUUAAUGAGCCUCUGACAUGCUGCACGGUCCUGGCGUGUUUUCCUUUGCCUGGUUGGCGACGGCUCCCUGAUUACUGCCCCCAUUAAGAGGGCAUUCCCUCUGACACCAGCGUGCGCCUUCAGCCAUACGCACUCAGGCAUUACAAGCAAUCAACUGAGGCUGGGUAAUAAUGGGGGUGAGCAGCACCUGCCCUGAAACUGGCUAAGGACUAACCCUGUGCCAGAAACAUAAAACAAAGGGAGAAGUUUGGAGGACACUCUGGUGUUGGUCUAACACACGGCCUCAUGCGCUCUCCUGUACCCGGAGCAUUCAGGAUGACGCUGACAGAAGAGUCUGAGUAUCAGCGGACACUUCGGAGUAAUAAAUCACUGAGCUUCUUAUCCUUAAAGACCGCCAUUACCAUAACAACACCACAUAUCAAUUGGUCUAUAUUUCAUCUUUUAUUUAUUUUUUAUUAAGUGAUGCAAAACAGAACAUGACAGGUGAGGGACAACAAACUAAGACACAGACAGGGGAGACAAGACAAGACAGGCAAAAGCAGGUAUUAUUGUAUUUCACCUGCUGGUAGGUGGAGUUGACUUAUUAAUAACAAUAUAACAUUUGGAAAUAAUAAUGCUAACUAAUAAAAGUAAGAAGAAUAAUGUAACAGAACAAAGGGACAAAGGAAAAAAAUAAAUAAAUGAAAUUAAGAAAGAAAAGAUAUAUCUCUUUAUAUAUACAUAUAAAUAUACAUAAAGAUAAAGAUCUUAGUUCAUUCAUUUUCCAUUUAAAUUUUUCUUUUUUUGUCUAUUUGAUUUUACUUUUGCAGAAAACCAUUGGUCGUCAGUAAGAUUUUUCAAAAUAAAAAAAAACAAAAAUCUCAGAUUUUUCUCCAAAAGUAUUUCCACUUCUGCAGAAACCUCAUAAAAAAAUAUAGCUUUUGCCUUAUAUUUCCAACACUGAUUGUAACUCCAGAUGUUUCAUUUUCAGUCUCAUAUCCGAACAGAAAAAACUUCUUAAUGCUGCAGAGACUGGACUAAACCGAGACACUCACAGUGUGGAGCACUGUGAUUGAUCAAACUCUGAUUAUUGUGCACCUUCCUGCACAAAUGCACACCUUUGCAUGUCUGACUGGUCUACAUUUAGUCCAGCUUAUAUUUGUAUAGUUUUUAAUAAUUACAUCUUUUUCUAUUUAAAGGCUCUUUUGAAGCACGACUAUUAAAACACAUUAUAUUAUGAAGUCUUUGUUAUUCAGGGUUUGAUUUACUACAAUAUAUUCCUCUACCCAUAAGAAUAGAAAAACACGGGAUAUUGAAAUUAAAUGCUUCAAAUGACAGACGUUCAUGUCUAAAAUGAGCCUCUCUGUUUAUUGCAUAUGCAUUACAUGAUACACAACGAUAAGAGGUGAUGAGAAACAAGAGCACCAUUAAGGUAUUGCACAACCCUUGCAGCCUGCAUAAGGAGCUUAUUUGGAGACAUGUAUGAAGUGUGUGUGUGGUGGGUGUGUGUGUGUUUGGAGGGAAGAUUAACAGUUUGGCUAAGAUGCAUGUUGGCAAUAAAGACUAUCUGAGUAGAUCUGAAAUGGUUCAAUGUGUAAAAACAGUCAUGAAACAGACGGAAACCAGUCCUCAGUCAGUUUUAGAUUUUGGGUUAUUUGAGGAAUAUCUGCAUGAAUUUAUAUUUAUAUUAAUCUGAACUCUCCAGAUUCAGAUUUAACUCUUUUAAAAAUACAUUUUAAUUGAUUUUCCAAGACUGUAAAUGUUGUUGACAUUUAAACUCACCGCAGGUAUGUGCUCCAUGAGACCACGCUGGUGCUCCAGAGGUUCUCCUAAUCCAUGAAAGUUUAAAAACCCGUAAAAACCGUCCUCCUGAAGUCUUGUGUUCCAGUUGUCAUCAUAUAUACACCUGCAGCCAUACGCCGACUCUCACAGUUGGGCAGCUCGUGCGGCUCUAAGGCAGGUGGAGACUGACUGACAGCUGCCAGCACAACAGCUGAUACUCAAUAUCUGCACGCCACUAGUUGCAGCUGGACCAAUGGGACGUGCAGGCAGCAGCGGCUGGCUCGGCCCAGGCUCAUUCAGUAAAACCUGGGACUCCACUCAGAGGACCACAGAUCCCAGGGUGUCCCAGUUUUCCUAGGACUCCUGCGUGACCAAAUCCCCUCUCUUAGGUCUGUCUGGACCUGCCGUGCAGAGCCGCCAGCCCCAAGGAUGCUGCCCAGACGCCAUACGACGCUCGCACUCUCUCUCCUCACAAGGCUGGAUUAUUCUUGAACCACCUGGACCUCAGAGCCACCGCUCUCUGAGCAAGUUUGGACAUAGUUCACUUGGACUUGAAUUGACCCAGGGAAAAAGCUUCCCUUCAAAUGUGGCUCGACCCAACAGAACCAGAACUACUGUUUGUGCAUUAUCAGUCUGAUGUUAGUUAGUGUGUUUAUGCAUGAAUAAAAAAAUAUUUACAUAACUUUUUUACUGAAAAGUUUUCUCUGUGUAUUAAAAGUAAACGUGAAAAUGGAAGGUUACACUAAUUAUGCACAGCAUUUGGAGUGCGUUGUUCUCAUGUAAUCAACAUGUGCAGAUUUAUCUAUCUAACACUUAUUCAAACACCAGAUCAACUGAGUAUGAUCAAUCUAAAGUAAAACACCAUGCAUAAAAAGGACAAAGACUAUCUAUGUGAGUGUGUGUCUAUGUGGAGGAGCUCAGAGACUCCUUAAUAAGCAUUAAGAGACGGACAGUCCAGGGUUCUUUGCCCUUAGCCUCCACAGCACACCAGCUAAUCCUCCUCUCUGCAGACCGGGUGCUACUUUGCUUGACCUGAUAUCAGGUGUUUGCAUUAAAAUCACAAGAGCAUUAAAGAGUCUAACCCCCAAUUUUCACUGCAUCCAGAACGGUGGCGAUUUUCGCCGUCCGCCAAUUCCUAUAUGAUCCAUUGGUGAGGUGAAUUUGUGGCGGAUUACAGACAGUGGUAAUCGCAAGAACUCACAAGAACCCGCGGAUUCAUGUGCAAUCGCGCAAUAACGAGUUAUCUCUAUAAAGACAGACAUAUAGACAUAUAAGCAGUAGAUUGUGUCCUUCCAGAGGAGGAAAUCUACUUCUAGACUUCUAGAAUCAGCAUCUCCUCAUCCAUGGUGUCAUCGGGGUGAAAUGACGUCUACAAACCUUUCACUUGGAUGUUUUAUUUUGUGUCUGUGCCCGACUUCCUUUCCAGCACGGGUUAAUCUGUGCUGAAUUUAUCCGCCAUGCUCUUGCGUCCGGAAAAAAUAGAACUCUUGUGAUCAGCUGAGGAGUCCGGUGAUCCGCAGAGGAACGGAAAGAAGCCGGUGG